rnacentral:misc_RNA from 1 species
GAUGAAGAACGUAGCGAAAUGCGAUAAGUAAUGUGAAUUGCAGAAUUCCGUGAAUCAUCGAAUCUUUGAACGCACCUUGCACUCCUUGGUAUUCCGAGGAGUACGCCUGUUCGAGUGUUAUGAAGCUCUCAAAACGCAAUUGGCUUAAAACCUGAUUGUUGUUUUGGAUUUGAACUUUGCCGUGUUAUAACGGCUGGUUUUAAAAGUAUUAGCUGGUACUAGAACGAAUUGGUUCUACUCAACGUGAUAAUUAUCUGAUCGUUGAGGACAUUCCUUUCACGAGGAAUGGCCAUAGUAAAUUCAAUGGACUGCUUCUAAUCUGGCUUUAAUUCUUUAUUGGAUUAACCACUUUUCAAAUCUGACCUCGAAUCAGGUGGGACUACCCGCUGAACUUAAGCAUAUCAAUAAGCAGAGGA